UACGGAGGGUGCGAGCGUUGUCCGGAAUCACUGGGCGUAAAGGGCGCGUAGGUGGCCCGUGGAAGUCUGCGGUGAAAGCCCGGCGCUCAACGCCGGGUCGGCCGUGGAUACUCUCGGGCUCGAGCUUACUAGAGGCAGAUGGAAUUCCGGGUGUAGCGGUGGAAUGCGUAGAGAUCCGGAAGAACACCGGUGGCGAAGGCGGUCUGCUGGGGUAAUGCUGACACUGAUGCGCGACAGCGUGGGGAGCAAACGGG
rnacentral:rRNA from 1 species